AACAUUCCCCUUUGGAUAUCAUGGUGGGUAUAAUAAUGGCUUCAAUAUAGCUGAAGCUAUAAAUUUUGCAUCUCCACGUUGGGUGGAGUAUGGGAUAAAAGCUUCACUGUGUCAUUGCCGUAAAGAUUCAGUGAAGAUUUGUAUGGAUACAUUUAUUAAACUAUAUUUUAAUUCCGUAUCAUGAAAUAAACCUUAUAUAAAUAAACUCGGAAGACAUGGACUUGUAUAGUAUUAACUGUAUACAUGUUGGAAAUCGAAAUGCAUUGUAUUCAAUACCUCCAGAAUAUGGACACGAAUUUGAAUGAUUGGCUAAUCGCUUUUUUCCAACUAAACCGGCAAACUGCCCUGCUUUUCUCAGACAUAAAGUGACUAUGAUAUCUCCUAAUAUUUUGGAACAAAAUGCUAUACCCUAUAAUAAAAUCACACAGGAGAAAGGGGAAUUCAUUAUAACAUUCCCCUUUGGAUAUCAUAGUGGCUUUAACUACAGAUUUAACAUGGCUGAAGCUAUACAUUUUGCAUCUCCACGUUGGGUGGAGUAUGGGAUAAAAGCUUCACUGUGUCAUUGCCGUAAAGAUUCAGUGAAGAUUUGUAUGGAUACAUUUAUUAAAC